rnacentral:rRNA from 1 species
GUAGGUGGCAAGCGUUGUCCGGAAUUAUUGGGCGUAAAGCGCGCGCAGGCGGUUCUUUAAGUCUGAUGUGAAAGCCCACGGGCUCAAACCGUGGAGGGUCAUUGGUAAACUGGAGAACUUGAGUACAGAAGAGGAAAGCGGAAUUCCACGUGUAGCGGUGAAAUGCGUAGAGAUGUGGAGGAACACCAGUGGCGAAGGCGGCUUUCUGGUCUGUAACUGACGCUGAGGCGCGAAAGCGUGGGGAGCAAACAGGAUUAGAUACCCUGGUAGUCCACGCCGUAAACGAUGAGUGCUAAGUGUUAGGGGGGUUUCCGCCCCUUAGUGCUGCAGCUAACGCAUUAAGCACUCCGCCUGGGGAGUACGGCCGCAAAGGCUG